AUUCCAGCUCCAAUAGCGUAUAUUAAUGUUGUUGCAGUUAAAAAGCUCGUAGUUGGAUUUCUGGUAGAGAGAGCCCGCCCUCCCGCGAGUGCGCGGGCGCUCUCUUCCAUCCUUCUGUUAACCCUUCAUGUCCUUCAUUGGUCGGUUGGGAGCCCAGAUAUUUUACCUUGAGAAAAUUAGAGUGUUUCAGGCAGGCUCGCGCCCGGAUACAUUAGCAUGGAAUAAUGGAAUAGGACUUUAGCCUCUUCUGUUGGUCUGAGGGGUUUGAGUAAUGAUUAAUAGGGAUAGUUGGGGGCAUUAGUACUUUACUGUCAGAGGUGAAAUUCUUGGAUUUGUAAAAGACUAACUUAUGCGAAAGCAUUUGCCAAGGAUGUUUUCAUUA
rnacentral:rRNA from 1 species